rnacentral:rRNA from 1 species
UACGGAGGGUGCGAGCGUUGUCCGGAAUCACUGGGCGUAAAGGGCGCGUAGGUGGCUCGUGAAGUCAACGGUGAAAGUUCAGGGCUCAACCCUGAAUCUGCCGUCGAUACUCCCGGGCUCGAGCACUGUAGAGGCAGGUGGAAUUCCGGGUGUAGCGGUGGAAUGCGUAGAGAUCCGGAAGAACACCGGUGGCGAAGGCGGCAUCCUGGACCAACACUGACACUGAGGAGCGAAAGCCAGGGGAGCAAACGGG